UACGUAGGUGGGAAGCUUUGUCCGGAUUUACUGGGCGUAAAGGGCGUGCAGGCGGUUUGUUAAGUCUAGGGUGAAAGCUCCCGGCUCAACUGGGAGAGGUCCUUGGAUACUGGCAGACUUGAGGAGGGUAGAGGAGAGUGGAAUUCCCGGUGUAGUGGUGAUAUGCGUAGAUAUCGGGAGGAACACCAGUGGCGAAGGCGGCUCUCUGGGCCCUACCUGACGCUGAGACGCGAAAGCGUGGGGAGCGAACGGG
rnacentral:rRNA from 1 species